AGUCAUACUUCUUACGUGGCAAGUGGCUUUUCUUGGAGAAAGUGGUCCUGGAGACAGACCAAGGCAGAAGUUGAAAGCCUUCUUCUGACCCAGAGUUGGAAGGCAAGAAGCAUCACUUCAACUGUGUUUCAUUAGUGACAGACACAUCUAACAGUUUUCAUGGAGAAACCCAAGAAAGCCUGAAAGGAGAUGUUAGGGAAAUAAAAGCCCAUCUCCAUGAUGCCAGGGAACCAACCAGACUGGAUAUUACACGGGUGUUGUGAAGAAGGAGAAACAAAUCAAGGCUCUUCUGCAGCUGUGGCAGCCAAUAAGGUACCUGAACAGUAACAUCAAUCUACAGCUCUCACCAAAUGUGUCAUUUACAGCAGCUGGCUAAAACAUUCACUAGUGCAUUAUGGUACCGAAUGAGACUUUUACCUU